CUUUACUAGCUAGCCGUCUUACGUAAGGUAGUUGCAAGCUACAGUAUAAACAAAGGUUUUGGGACCGAUCCUUUUUCUCUAAGCUGUUCAACUUUAUUAAACGACUCCUUAUUCUAUUCUGCUACUUUUUGCUUUUAACUUUUUCUAAAUGAAAACAUUGUAUGUAAGACUAUGUAUGACUAUGUAUUGAUUGACUAUUAAAGGGCCCAUAUCAUGCAAAAUCCACUUUUUAGACAUUUUGGAGCGUCCCUAUGACUCUAUGGGUCACAUAUACACACACUGAGCACGGUAGAAAUGCAUUUCCUGCUUUUUUCACAUUUUGAAAACGUAAAUUUUCUCAUCCAAUGAAAACAGCCACGACCUACUCUGAGGCCGUUCCCCGGGUUUCGUCAUACUGGUUGAAAGUUCUCCUUGCAAAUCCUGAACCACCACCCCCACAAUGAUCCCGAACCAAAACUGGACUUCCGCCAUUUCCCCCCUCUCACUCACCGUGAACAGACCAGCACGACAGCGCCCAAGUCCUCCCAUAGAAAUAGUUCGGUUCUUGGGUGUUCUAACCAACACCAAAGUCUAUUCACUUUAACAAGGGAUCAACAAGUGAGGAUUUGUGGGUCACUUUUAUUUUUAACGGACCGGUGCCAGAAACACUGCCUCAGCAUUUAUACGUAUGUGCAUUUCAAACGAGGGUGCGUACAAUGCUGGAUUUGUUUAACGGCUCCUGUUGGAAAAAAAGGAUCUAUUCCUAAAGUCCGUCAUCCACUCACUGAAGAGGGCAAAUCCCAGUUGCCCACAUGCAAGGAGGCUGUCAAACAGAGAAAUCACUGCAGACUGUUGGUACACAGACAUCUGCUGCCCAGCUCAGGAGUAAAGGUAUGUAAGUUUGUAUGUACCAACAGUAAGAUAGGUAAUAGAAGAUUUUAAUUGGUAUAUACUGUUUAGAUUUUAUAUUUGAAUUGUAACAACUGUUUAUCUGUUGUUUUAGCACAGACAGGCCUGUCCUCUUGUUUGGUUUAAUUUUUUGUCUGGAAUUGUGUGUUCUUACAUUAGAGAAGGUUUUGACCUACAUAAUAAUUAACAUUUCACUAAUCUACAAUUCUGAUUGCACUACCUUUUGUUUUGAUGAGGUGAUGGUGAGGACAGCCAAAGCUUCCAUCUGGUAGAGGACUGCUUCCGCUCAGUCUUCCAAAUAGUGAUGAGAACAAGGAUCACCACAUCUCCCUGUUUACCCUACUUUCAUGCAUUUCGUCUGCAAGGCCCUGCAAAAGCUUCUCCUUCGUCCUCAAACCCCCAGACUUCUUAAUUAACUCAGUAACCUAUACAUUGUAUUUUUUUGGUUUACAAUAAAGUUGGCUUUAACUAUUAUGUAUUUCACUGAACUCUGUUUCUGAAGGGAAAACACUUUUAUUUGGGAAAUCAUAGUAUUGAAAUUACAUGUUUUUCUCUUUCUAAUAUGGUAAGCUAUAAAGUUGAAGCGGCCAUAAAUAAAACGCAUAUAAAUUAUAUAUAAAUAAAGUUAAAAAAAAUUCUUAAUGAGUGUUGCACUCACAAAAAACACAUUUUUACUCAAAUGGUAAAGGAGUUAUUCUACAGGUGGUCUACAUGAAUCAUACUAUGAGUGUUUCAGUGUUUUAUCCAUCAGGAAACUGCCUUCAUCUACAACCCAAGCAUGAAGAGAUGGCAACUCAGAUUCUUCACCCCAGGAAUCCUCAGCACCAGCUCACUAGCCUCUGUAGACUAGAUACCUGUAACAACUUUAGAUACAGAGACAUAUUACUGUCAAAUUUAUCAUGAAUGACAAAAAACAUAAUUAAAAGCAGUAAAAAUACGUUAGGUCAAUAUAUAAUUUGAACCAAUGCUUUUUGUUCCCAGGUAGGUCAUGCAGUGAUUGCUCUAAAUAUUAAUGCACAUUUUUUAAAUAAAAUUGUCAGAGCAGCAGCACAAGUAAGACAAAACAGUGAAAUGUGUAAAUGUAAAAUGUAUUUAUAUUAUUUCAGCUAUGCUCUCAAAUUUAUUUAUUUGUAUAAUGUAAUCUAAAGUAGUGUUUUCUAUUAACGAGAGUUUUCCAGGUAAGUCGUGUUGUGAAUAUUGAAGCUGCACACGCCAUUUAGCAUACGCAUUAGCAACCGCUAGUCGCUUUGCAUAAAUCAAUUAAAUUGAAGUAAAUGCGACAUUACCAAUGAGACACAUCUUGCAUCAGCCGAAAUGUGGUGACUUCAACAGCCUCCUCUUCAGCUUCAGGGUCAGAUUCGGGAUCGUAGACGUAUGGUUCUACUACGCUACGAAUCAGCUGACUAAUGUCGUGCAGUCCUGUAGUGGGUCUUCUUCUGUGGAGGAUGGCGGUGGAUUGUAUUCUCAAUGUCGCACUACUGCCACCUAUUGUAUCCUAACCGUGCGGUGGCUCGUAUCCAUGGAGCCAAUUUAAAAAAAAAAACAACAACAAAAAAGGUAUGCGCUUCCGCACAGAGGUGUGGUGAGCAGCUUCGCUUGCGACACGCCCAGAAAACACAGCGUUUGCUGAUGGAGAGUGAAAACCACACAUUGACAGGGGCAGUGUGGACGAUCUAAAGGGUUUUAUGGGUUGAAAAUUUACAGAGACCUUACUGAGACAUUAAAGUCUAAUAUUUUUUUAGAAUGAAAAGCAUGAUAUGACUCCUUUAAAGUCAAUCAAAACCGUCAAUAUUAAAAUACAAGCUCUUAUUUCCGGUCUCCACACUACCAGGUGACACACACAGGCACCCAGGCACAGCCACUGCCAGCCUAGCUACUGCUGUCACAUCACUGAGAUCACAUGAGCAAACUUCCAUCUCCAGAGAGGACAUUGAGAGUUUGCUGGCGCUUGGCACAACACCUACUGAAGUGGCAAAAGUCCUGCAGAUCUCCCGGCCUACGUUGUACAAGCUCAUGCGGGAAUACAACAUAAGGCACACAAGAUUUUGCAACAUUUCUGACGAAGAAUUAGAUGCAACCAUCAAUGAAAUCAAAUCCGAACAUCCCAAUAUAGGAGAAAUUAUGCUGAUUGGACAUUUACAUUCGAAAAAACAUUGUGGUGCAGAGAUGUCAUAUCAGACAGUCUGUACAAAGGAUUGAUGCUGCUGGUAUUGAGUCCAGGAGAACUGCAAUACCCCAAAUAGGGUAUUUGCAUAUAUCAUGAAUAUUCAGUUUUACACUUGGCGGACAUUUAACAUUUACAUUUAACAUUUAACAUUUAACAUUUACAUUUAACAUUUACAUUUAACAUUUACAUUUACAUUUGACAUUUAGAUUUAACAUUUAACAUUUACAUUUAUAUUUAACAUUUACAUUUAGACUUUUGAACAUUUAACUAAAUGUGAGAAAACAUGUGGUGUAAUUUAACUAAAUGUGAGAAAACUAGUUAUAGGUGCUACUUUUACAUUUGGCACCCCAUAUAUUUGUGCAGGCUGCUGGGUCCAAACAUACAGCACAGGACAAAACUGAGACACGUUCUCACUGUGCCACAGAUGGUGUGUGUAGCUCUGUGAUUCUUUGCAAGUGGCAUGUUUCUCUAUUCAGUUGGAGACGCCGAGAACCUCAAUAAAGGCACAAUUUGCCACACAAUAAGAACCAUUUGUCUAGCACUGAAAUCACUUGCUCACAUCUUCGUCACCUUCCCUGGCCACAGAAGAUUUGUUCACAUCAAGAAGGAGUUAUAUUACAUUAAAGUGACACAGUUGGACACUCAUGUCACCCAUGUCCAUAUAACACGGCCCUCAGGGGCACAUGAGGGAGAGUACAUCAACAGGAAACCCUUCCAUAGUAUCAAUGUUCAGGUGAUUUCUCUGGUGUGCUGCUAGGUGACAAAGGCUAUGCCUGUGACACAUUCCUGCGGACACCCCUGGCAGAUCCCCAAACUCCAACACAACAGGCCUAUAACCAUGCCCAGACAGGGCUGUGGACUGUUCUGUGCUGCAUAAUACUGCCAGCCUGAGAAAAGAGAGAGCCCCGAGAGUUGUUAAUUAUAUUGACUGGGACAAUGUAGUCAUUUUUCCAGAUGACAGAAAUGGUAAACUGGUCAGAGAACAGUACAUACUGAAUUAUUUCAGUUAAUUGUUUUGUUUUUGUUUUGAUUUAUAAAGGAUAAUGUGUCACUAAUUCAUGUGUACUCUCCAUUUUCUGAGAACUAUUAGCACAGACUGUCCUCAAACUUUAGUUUCACUUUAUUGAAUAAAUAAGUAUAUACACUAGUGUACAAGACAUCCAUAAUAAAAGAAAGAGCACAGUUUCAGGUUUUAUUCAUUUAUUGCGUUGUGGUCACUUGUCAGCUUGGAACUUUGGAGAGAAAACAAUAACAAUGAGUAAAUGCAUUGCGUUACAGUCAUGGUUAGUGUGAACUGAAAUCACUUACGUCUCUUUCUAAUAUCCAGAUUUCAAAUUUCAGUUUCCUCAGUGUCUUAUCUGUUGUGACUCGGCUACCACGCCACCAGGGGCAGCCUGGUUUCACCCUUUUGGUUUUGUGUCCUUGUUUCCUGUCUUGUGUUUCCUGUAUUAGUUUGAUUGGGUUCACCUGUCUUGUCUUGUAUUUAAGGUCUCAGUUUGUGCACAAACUUGUGUCUUUGUUGGUGCAUUACUUGUUACUUAUUACUCGUCACAUUAUGUGUUGUUACCGUGCCAUCGUGCUCUGUCCAGGUUUGUAUGUUUGUUCGCUGAUUACGUUUGAUACUGUUGUUUGCAUGUUUUGUGUUUUAGGAUAGUAAUUUAGUUUCCUGCUCUGCAGCGAUCUUUAGUUUACCUGUGAGUUUUAUGUGUUAGUUUGCAUGUUUUGUUUUCUGGUUUAUCCUGCAUACUCAGCGUCCUUAGUUUGUAUUGUCCUUUCUGUAUGUUUUAUUAUUAAACCAUUUGUCGUCAGUCCUGUCUGUGGGUCGUUGCAUUUGGGUCUUCUCUCCCAGUUCAGUUUGGUGGCCAUUGUAGCCUGUUUCCCACUCGUGGUGAGUGUGUGUUAGAAUAUUGUUCAGUCCAGUUUGACCCUUGUCCGUAACAGAAUGCACCAACCAUCCAGAUCCCAGCUAGCCAGCUAAGUGUUAGUCCGUGUUAGCUUGUCUGUGUUUUGUGUGCAUGCUUUUGUUUUUGCUCCGUGUUUUGUUUCGUUUUUGCACCUUAGUGUCCACAUGGCUUCGGCUGCUUCAGAGCAGAUCAACGCUCGCUUCCGGGAGUUCCGGAAUUGGUCACGUGGUUCCCCGCGCUACGGGAGGAGUUGGCUGCCCAAUCCUUUUGUCUAGUGACACGGUUUCCUUGUCUGCAGAAGUACGUUCCACUGUAGCAGAUGUGCUUGCCUCCUGACAUAUUCAGUAGAACUUGUAUUGACAGCUUUGAUAAAACAUGCAUAUCUUGUGAUCUUGAUGAAGUGUACUCACAAGGAGAACAUGGUCUGGUGGCUCCAGGAGUAAAACUGUGUUACCA